UUUGCUAACCCACAAUCUCAGCAUAACCCCUCUACUCCACACCAUCACACUCACCUCUCCUUCUGCCCUUCAGUUUCCGCGAGAUUCAUCAACAUCCCCUUUCAUCUCUUCUCUGCAUCCGUUUAAUCUUCAUCCAUUCAACCUCCAUCACCCUCACCGUGAUUCCGCUCCGAACCACCCUCCAUCAAUCUACCAGAACACCAAACUUCUGUACCAUUACCAAAUCCAGACCCUUCAAACUCCAUCUCUCCCUCGACAUCUCCCACCGCCAAUCCACUCCUUCCGCUCUGCCAGCCGUUCCGGAAGCAACUGCAUGCAAAUCACGACCGUUGUCCCACCUAUAUCGUCGUCUGUCACCUUAUUCCAGCCUCUUCUACCCCGCGCGCGUAACAGACUCCAUACUCCAUUCGUAUCUCAUUCAAUGCCCAACUACACCAUCAAGCCAUGA